rnacentral:rRNA from 1 species
GACGAACGCUGGCGGCGUGGAUUAGGCAUGCAAGUCGAACGGUAUCAUCCUUUCGGGGGUGAGAGAGUGGCGAACUGGUGAGUAACACGUAGGUUAUCUACCCUUAAGACGGGGACAACCCAGGGAAACUUGGGCUAAUACCGGAUGAGAGUGCGAGAGAUUGCAUUUAAAAGGAUGGCGAAAGUUGUCGCUUAGGGAUGAGCCUGCGGUCUAUUAGUUAGUUGGUGAGGUAAGAGCUCACCAAGGCGAUGAUAGAUAGGCGGCCUUAACGGGUGGUCGCCCACACUGGGAUUGAGAUACGGCCCAGACUCCUACGGGAGGCAGGCAGUCGAGAAUAGUCUACAAUGGCCGGAAGGCUGAUAGUGCGACGCCGCGUGAACGAGGGAGCCCUUCGGGGUCGUAAAGUUCUUUUCUAUUACGAGCAGUGCUAUAUAUAUGGAUAGUAUAUAUAGAGGGAUAGUAGUAUAGGAAUAAGCAACGGCUAAACUCCGUGCCAGCAGCCGAC